rnacentral:rRNA from 1 species
CUUUGGUGCCUUCGGGAACUCUGAGACAGGUGCUGCAUGGCUGUCGUCAGCUCGUGUUGUGAAAUGUUGGGUUAAGUCCCGCAACGAGCGCAACCCUUAUCCUUUGUUGCCAGCGGUCCGGCCGGGAACUCAAAGGAGACUGCCAGUGAUAAACUGGAGGAAGGUGGGGAUGACGUCAAGUCAUCAUGGCCCUUACGAGUAGGGCUACACACGUGCUACAAUGGCGCAUACAAAGAGAAGCGAACUCGCGAGAGCAAGCGGACCUCAUAAAGUGCGUCGUAGUCCGGAUUGGAGUCUGCAACUCGACUCCAUGAAGUCGGAAUCGCUAGUAAUCGUAGAUCAGAAUGCUACGGUGAAUACGUUCCCGGGUCUU